ACACUUAUUCAUUGCGCUAUUAGAGCAGCC
rnacentral:sRNA from 1 species